CUAUUUGUCUGCUUGUCUGUCCCUUGUCACAGUCUCCCAUUUAGUCCUCUAGGGGAGUGUCCACCAGGUGGAAGACCUGCAUAAAUACUGGGCAAGUAGCCCUCAUUAAACAGACCACUGCUUGACCCACAACACGGAGCCUUGUCUCGUCUUUGGGGGGGAUUUACUGAAUGCUGAUAGAGACUGAUUGCUAGGAGUGUAAGCCGCUUGGAUGCUUUUCCUAUUCGUCUGGUAGCAGCAAUUCGUAUGGUUCCUGUUUGUGUAUUUGGAGUGCUAUAUUGGAUGCCGUUCGGGAGUUUGAAGCAUUCACUUAUUGGCGGUUCGUGUGUUUGGUGUUCUGCAGUAGCUGUGCCUGCAUCUCUGGAAAGGGGGCCAAUCGCCU